GAGAGAGAAGCAAGUUUCAAGCUCCAAUCGCAAUUUGUUCGGGUUUUAAGGUGAAAAUUGGGGAAAAUCAGCUCCAAAAUCCUUCUACGAGACUAGUAAGCCGGUUGAGUUGCAGUUUAGUGUGGAGCCCUGUAGCUGUUGAGCUGAAUAGAAGGGAAGUACAGGUUGAGGUCUACUCUAUCCUAGAAUAGACACCCUGGAAGGGUUAUUCCCAUAUGUAUUAAGUUGGAUGUUGAUGUUGUAAGUUUAGCCUUAGCGUUUGGGUAUGGGAGAGAUACCUAAACGUGGCGGUGACACCCAGUUUUCUGCUGAUAAGAUGUAAGCUUCCGCAGCGUUUUAUUACGGAUUUUGUAAUAAAUGUAAGAGUUGAAAAUUGGGGUGUUACAA